GGCAUGGCGCGCGUCGCUUGUUCUUGAGGCCCGCGACUGAGCAGUGCAGGCGAGCCUGAAGAGAAUAACUUAACAAGCUGUGCUCGUACGUGCUUCAGGAUCAGUUAAUGCCUCGAACAUAAAGAGUGGGUGCGUAAGGACAACAGAUGAUAAAGAAAAUGUUGCGUACAACCUUGCCCGUCUUACUUCUCACGGCGGUUUGCUCAGAAGCUGGUUCAGGGCAACACCACUCCCAGCACAAGGCAAGGUUCAGCUUGACGGAAGCGAAUUACUUCUGCCUUCCUUCGCUGCCGUGCCGGUGCCCGUGCCAGUACGGCCUCGAGCAUCCCAGCAGGUGUGGCAUAUGCGUUUGCCCAUCGUGCGGCGGGUGCCUGUCGGCAUGCUACUUCAAGGUGCGACCAGGAGAGCUUUGCCCACGGUGCGCACCAGCCGAAUAUUGCUACGGUUCGCACCGAAAUUGGCAAGAGGGGCCAAAGCAUCCGGUAAAUCCAAGUGAACCAGAAAAGCCGAAUCACCCGGAAAGGCCCAAGGAUCCGGAGAAGCCGAAGCAUCCGGAAAGUCCAAAGGAUCCGGAGAAGCCGAAGCAUC
rnacentral:lncRNA from 1 species